rnacentral:rRNA from 1 species
GACGAACGCUGGCGGCGUGCUUAACACAUGCAAGUCGAACGGUAAGGCCCUUCGGGGUACACGAGUGGCGAACGGGUGAGUAACACGUGGGUGAUCUGCCCUGCACUUCGGGAUAAGCCUGGGAAACUGGGUCAAAUACCGGAUGGGACUCGGGACUGCAGGGUCAGGGGUGGAAAGCUUUGGCGGUGUGGGAUGGGCCGGCGGCCUAUCAGCUUGUUGGUGGGGUGAGGGCUUGCCAAGGCGACGACGGGUAGCGGAGCUGAGAGGGUGACCGGCCACACUGGGACUGAGAUACGGCCCAGACUACUACGGGAGGCAGCAGUGGGGAAUAUUGCACAAUGGGCGCAAGCCUGAUGCAGCGACGCCGCGUGAGGGAUGACGGCCUUCGGGUUGUAAACCUCUUUCAGCAUCGACGAAGCGAAAGUGACGGUAGGUGCAGAAGAAGGACCGGCCAACUACGUGCCAGCAGCCGCGGUAA